rnacentral:rRNA from 1 species
UACAGAGGUCUCAAGCGUUGUUCGGAUUCAUUGGGCGUAAAGGGUGCGUAGGCGGCGCGGUAAGUCGGGUGUGAAAUCUCGGAGCUUAACUCCGAAACUGCAUCCGAUACUGCCCGGCUAGAGGUAGGUAGGGGAGAUCGGAAUUCCUGGUGUAGCGGUGAAAUGCGCAGAUAUCAGGAGGAACACCGGUGGCGAAGGCGGAUCUCUGGGCCUUACCUGACGCUCAGGCGCGAAAGCUAGGGGAGCGAACUGG